GUCGUAAAGGUGCAUGAGUGGUGUUUGGUUUGUUACGUGUGGUUGGCUGCGGCGUUUGCAACAACUUCCAUGCUUUCAGACCUCUUCAGUCGUGCGGCAAGGCUUGUAUCGCCUUGAGCGUAUUGUGGGUUUUCUGUGUUGGCUACCUAAUCAAUGGUAUCGGUUGGAUUGAUCAAUGUUUCAUUUCGUCUACCGUCGCAUUCGCGGCGUGAGAUGAACCUUGAUGCGGUCUCUUUGAUCCACCUCGUCGAAGCGCAUGCUUUGGCGUUGUGGCACAUUGAGCAUUGCUUGGUCUCUUGUAUACGGAACAUAUAGUGGGCAUGGAUCUAACGAUUCUCGUUUGCCCUCAUAUUAGCGUAACGCUUCUCUUACACGACUUGCWCCACGUUUUAGCUCGUACGGACGUGGU
rnacentral:misc_RNA from 1 species